AGAUUGCCAUCACUAGCCUGAUUGAAUCGAGCUAGUCAUUGGAUUUAACCAUACAAUGUCUUUCCUGUUUCAACUUCUCCUCUUCCGUUUGUAUUUCUUUUGCCACCAACUACCAUAAAAGGGGUGUUUGCCGAGAUUCUCAUCAAAAACUAAAUCACUAGCCAAGGUUGUGGCAGCCAUCAUUGGCCUUUUUCUGCCAAAGUGUUCAAGAAAAACAUC
rnacentral:lncRNA from 1 species